UUAAUUUGAGAGUUUGAUCCUGGCUCAGGACGAACGCUGGCGGCGUGCCUAAUACAUGCAAGUCGAACGAACUCUGGUAUUGAUUGGUGCUUGCAUCAUGAUUUACAUUUGAGUGAGUGGCGAACUGGUGAGUAACACGUGGGAAACCUGCCCAGAAGCGGGGGAUAACACCUGGAAACAGAUGCUAAUACCGCAUAACAACUUGGACCGCAUGGUCCGAGUUUGAAAGAUGGCUUCGGCUAUCACUUUUGGAUGGUCCCGCGGCGUAUUAGCUAGAUGGUGGGGUAACGGCUCACCAUGGCAAUGAUACGUAGCCGACCUGAGAGGGUAAUCGGCCACAUUGGGACUGAGACACGGCCCAAACUCCUACGGGAGGCAGCAGUAGGGAAUCUUCCACAAUGGACGAAAGUCUGAUGGAGCAACGCCGCGUGAGUGAAGAAGGGUUUCGGCUCGUAAAACUCUGUUGUUAAAGAAGAACAUAUCUGAGAGUAACUGUUCAGGUAUUGACGGUAUUUAACCAGAAAGCCACGGCUAACUACGUGCCAGCAGCCGCGGUAAUACGUAGGUGGCAAGCGUUGUCCGGAUUUAUUGGGCGUAAAGCGAGCGCAGGCGGUUUUUUAAGUCUGAUGUGAAAGCCUUCGGCUCAACCGAAGAAGUGCAUCGGAAACUGGGAAACUUGAGUGCAGAAGAGGACAGUGGAACUCCAUGUGUAGCGGUGAAAUGCGUAGAUAUAUGGAAGAACACCAGUGGCGAAGGCGGCUGUCUGGUCUGUAACUGACGCUGAGGCUCGAAAGUAUGGGUAGCAAACAGGAUUAGAUACCCUGGUAGUCCAUACCGUAAACGAUGAAUGCUAAGUGUUGGAGGGUUUCCGCCCUUCAGUGCUGCAGCUAACGCAUUAAGCAUUCCGCCUGGGGAGUACGGCCGCAAGGCUGAAACUCAAAGGAAUUGACGGGGGCCCGCACAAGCGGUGGAGCAGGUGGUUUAAUUCGAAGCUACGCGAAGAACCUUACCAGGUCUUGACAUACUAUGCAAAUCUAAGAGAUUAGACGUUCCCUUCGGGGACAUGGAUACAGGUGGUGCAUGGUUGUCGUCAGCUCGUGUCGUGAGAUGUUGGGUUAAGUCCCGCAACGAGCGCAACCCUUAUUAUCAGUUGCCAGCAUUAAGUUGGGCACUCUGGUGAGACUGCCGGUGACAAACCGGAGGAAGGUGGGGAUGACGUCAAAUCAUCAUGCCCCUUAUGACCUGGGCUACACACGUGCUACAAUGGAUGGUACAACGAGUUGCGAACUCGCGAGAGUAAGCUAAUCUCUUAAAGCCAUUCUCAGUUCGGAUUGUAGGCUGCAACUCGCCUACAUGAAGUCGGAAUCGCUAGUAAUCGCGGAUCAGCAUGCCGCGGUGAAUACGUUCCCGGGCCUUGUACACACCGCCCGUCACACCAUGAGAGUUUGUAACACCCAAAGUCGGUGGGGUAACCUUUUAGGAACCAGCCGCCUAAGGUGGGACAGAUGAUUAGGGUGAAGUCGUAACAAGGUAGCCGUAGGAGAACCUGCGGCUGGAUCACCUCCUUUCUAAGGAA
rnacentral:rRNA from 1 species